rnacentral:rRNA from 1 species
GAUCAUGGCUCAGGAUGAACGCUAGCUACAGGCUUAACACAUGCAAGUCGAGGGGCAGCAUGGUCUUAGCUUGCUAAGGCCGAUGGCGACCGGCGCACGGGUGAGUAACACAUCGGAACGUGUCCGCUCGUGGGGGACAACCAGCCGAAAGGUUGGCUAAUACCGCAUGAGUUCUACGGAAGAAAGAGGGGGACCCGCAAGGGCCUCUCGCGAGCGGAGCGGCCGAUGACUGAUUAGCCGG